rnacentral:rRNA from 1 species
AGUGACGGUACCUUAGGAGCAAGUCCCGGCUAACUACGUGCCAGCAGCCGCGGUAAUACGUAGGGGGCAAGCGUUAUCCGGAAUUAUUGGGCGUAAAGGGUGCGUAGGUGGCAGAACAAGUCUGGAGUAAAAGGUAUGGGCUCAACCCGUACUGGCUCUGGAAACUGUUCAGCUAGAGAACAGAAGAGGACGGCGGAACUCCAUGUGUAGCGGUAAAAUGCGUAGAUAUAUGGAAGAACACCGGUGGCGAAGGCGGCCGUCUGGCCUGUUGCUGACACUGAAGCACGAAAGCGUGGGGAGCAAAUAGGAUUAGAUACCCUAGUAGUCCACGCCGUAAACGAUGAGAACUAGGUGUUGGGGGAAUAACUCAGUGCCGCAGUUAACGCAAUAAGUUCUCCGCCUGGGGAGUAUGCACGCAAGUGUGAAACUCAAAGGAAUUGACGGGGGCCCGCACAAGCGGUGGAGCAUGUGGUUUAAUUCGAAGCAACGCGAAGAACCUUACCAGGUCUUGACAUCCGGAUAAAGACCUCAGAGAUGAGGGGAUAGAUAUAUCCGAGACAGGUGGUGCAUGGUUGUCGUCAGCUCGUGUCGUGAGAUGUUGGGUUAAGUCCCGCAACGAGCGCAACCCUUGUCGCUAGUUACCAUCAUUAAGUUGGGGACUCUAGCGAGACUGCCAGUGACAAGCUGGAGGAAGGCGGGGAUGACGUCAAAUCAUCAUGCCCCUUAUGACCUGGGCUACACACGUGCUACAAUGGAUGGAGCAGAGGGAAGCGAAGCCGCGAGGUGAAGCAAAACCCAUAAAACCAUUCUCAGUUCGGAUUGUAGUCUGCAACUCGACUACAUGAAGUUGGAAUCGCUAGUAAUCGCGAAUCAGCAUGUCGCGGUGAAUAAGUUCUCGGGCCUUGUACUCACCGCCCGUCA